rnacentral:rRNA from 1 species
GUGCCAGCAGCCGCGGUAAUACGUAGGGCGCAAGCGUUGUCCGGAAUUAUUGGGCGUAAAGAGCUCGUAGGCGGUUUGUCGCGUCUGCUGUGAAAACGCAAGGCUUAACCUUGCGCCUGCAGUGGGUACGGGCAGACUAGAGUGCGGUAGGGGAGACUGGAAUUCCUGGUGUAGCGGUGGAAUGCGCAGAUAUCAGGAGGACACCGAUGGCGAAGGCAGGUCUCUGGGCCGUUACUGACGCUGAGGAGCGAAAGCAUGGGGA